AUCUCUAUCACGUUUUGCUGAUGUUAUUGCUCUUUGUGUUCAGUCGGAACCUGAGUUCCGACCACCUAUGUCAGAGGUGGUUCAAGCGAUGGUACGAUUAGUGCAGCGAGCUAACAUGAGCAGGCGGACAUUUGGAAGUGAUCAUGGAGGAUCCCUCCGAGGAAGUGAUGAGCCAGCUAUACGAGACAUCUAAUCUAUUCUAAUUCUAAUGGGAAUAUAAUCCUUUUGGAGUUAUGCUACUAGGAUGUCCCCAAAGCUAAUAUUGUGCUUAUAUUUUAAUUUUUGUUCUUUUAACCUUUUAAGUUAGAUUGAUUGCACCUCAAAUUAGAUUGAUUGUACUAAUAUUGUACUUAUAUUUUACUUUUUGUUCUUGCUUGUCCCUCAACCUAUACGGCUUUGUAAGUUAGAUUGAUUGCAUCUUCUUCUAUUAACCAAGUUAGACAACGGGUAUUGCAU